rnacentral:siRNA from 1 species
UGGAUAAGGUUCCAGAUUGUUCUG